rnacentral:rRNA from 1 species
UACGGAGGAUGCAAGCGUUAUCCGGAUUUAUUGGGUUUAAAGGGUGCGCAGGUUGUUUGAUAAGUCAGUGGUGAAAUUUUGCAGCUCAACUGUAAAAGUGCCUUCGAAACUGGUUUCCUUGAGUGUAGAUGAAGUAGGCGGAAUUUGUGGUGUAGCGGUGAAAUGCAUAGAUAUCACGAGGAACUCCGAUUGCGCAGGCAGCUUACUAAACUACUACUGACGCUCAGGCACGAAGGCGUGGGGAUCAAACAGGAUUAGAUA